rnacentral:ncRNA from 1 species
AGCAAACCACAGAUGCAGAGGAGUAAGCGAGGGUUUGCGUCUUUCCCAGAGAGCUGCCGGUUGGUGUGAUGGCAGCAGAGACGGUCUCGCUGAAUGGACUGCGGAGGGCGGACGAGACGCCAGGAGGCGGUAAAGUCCGACGGGCUUUUCCCCCGUUACCAGGGAAAGACGUGUGAUGGCACGUCGCCGAGCGGGCGCAUUUGCGCCAAUUUGGGUGGCACCGCAGAAGUUUUCCGGCUUUUGUCCCAAGG